GACGAACGCUGGCGGCGUGCUUAACACAUGCAAGUCGAGCGGAAAGGCCACUUCGGUGGUACUCGAGCGGCGAACGGGUGAGUAACACGUGAGUAAUCUGCCCUUGGCUUUGGGAUAGCCACCGGAAACGGUGAUUAAUACCGGAUAUGACCACUCUAGGCAUCUAGUGGUGGUGGAAAGUUUUUCGGCCAGGGAUGUGCUCGCGGCCUAUCAGCUUGAUGGUGAGGUAAUGGCUCACCAUGGCUUCGACGGGUAGCCGGCCUGAGAGGGUGACCGGUCACACUGGGACUGAGACACGGCCCAGACUCCUACGGGAGGCAGCAGUGGGGAAUAUUGGACAAUGGGCGGAAGCCUGAUCCAGCAACGCCGCGUGAGGGAUGACGGCCUUCGGGUUGUAAACCUCUUUCAGCAGGGACGAAGCGCAAGUGACGGUACCUGCAGAAGAAGCACCGGCCAACUACGUGCCAGCCGCCGCCGUAAGAC
rnacentral:rRNA from 1 species